AGAAAAUUAUGCCAAUGAAAUGAUACAAGGAGAGGAGGCUUUCCUCAGAAAGGAGAUAAUGAGAGGGGUUCGAAAGUGGGAAGAAAGAGAGAGGGGAGAGGGAAAAAAAAGGAAAACCCGAUCCAGAAGGCUACAUCCAGAAGGCUCAGCAGGCUGAUCUAUAAUUUAUUAUCCUAUCCAGUUGCAUUCAAGGCGACACCACCAACUUCUGGGUCCAUUCAUCCUUGUCAUUGCUGAGGACAGAUGCUAUGGUCUGGUACUGGAAUGCACUUUCUGAAUCCCUACUUGCUUUGCUGUUGCUUAUCUUCACACCUACAACACCAGCUCCCCUCGACUCGAAAACUAUGACCAGCCACAUUCAUCGGUGCCUAUUUUUAGUCAUCGUAGAGCCAGGGCUGCCAUUUCGUCUGAAAUAUGAUCUUGUAAUUUUGCAUUGAUCUGUGAACAAACGCUGGAAAUGGAAAACUUCUUUGAAGCAUGCCUA